GUGCCAGCAGCCGCGGUAAAACGUAGGUGGCAAGCGUUAUCCGGAUUUACUGGGCGUAAAGCGUGUGCAGGCGGGGGUACAAGUGGUGUAUGAAAUUUCCCAGCUUAACUGGGAAGGGUUAUGCCAGACUGUACUUCUGGAGUGCGAGAGAGGGGCGUGGAAUUCCGGGUGUAGUGGUGAAAUGCGUAGAGAUCCGGAGGAACCCCAGAGGCGAAGGCGGCGCCCUGGCUCGCAACUGACGCUCAGACACGACAGCAUGGGGAGCGAACGGGAUUAGAAACCCUCGUAGUCC
rnacentral:rRNA from 1 species